GGGUCAGUAGGUUGGUCGUGCCACCGGUACGUACUGGUCUCACUUAUUCCUCCUUCCUGAAGAACCGUAAUGCCAUUAAUUUGGUGUUGCGGGGAAACAGGACUGUUACUUUGAAAAAAUUAGAGUGUUUAAUGAAAGCUAACGCUUGAAUACAUUAGCAUGGAAUAAUGAAAUAGGACGAUCGAUCCUAUUUUGUUGGUUUCUAGGAUUGACGUA
rnacentral:rRNA from 1 species